rnacentral:rRNA from 1 species
AUACAUGCAAGUCGAACGCGUCUUCGUUAACUGAAGUGCUUGCACGGACGUUAACCAUAAGACGAGUGGCGAACUGGUGAGUAACACGUAGGAAACCUGCCCAGAAGCAGGGGAUAACACUUGGAAACAGGUGCUAAUACCGUAUAACAACGAAAACCGCAUGGUUUUCGUUUGAAAGAUGGCUUCGGCUAUCACUUCUGGAUGGUCCUGCGGCGUAUUAGUUAGUUGGUGAGGUAAAGGCCCACCAAGACGAUGAUACGUAGCCGACCUGAGAGGGUAAUCGGCCACAUUGGGACUGAGACACGGCCCAAACUCCUACGGGAGGCAGCAGUAGGGAAUCUUCCACAAUGGACGAAAGUCUGAUGGAGCAAUGCCGCGUGAGUGAAGAAGGGUUUCGGCUCGUAAAACUCUGUUGUUGAAGAAGAACGGGUGCAAGAGUAACUGUUUGCAUCGUGACGGUAUUCAACCAGAAAGCCACGGCUAACUACGUGCCAGCAGCCGCGGUAAUACGUAGGUGGCAAGCGUUGUCCGGAUUUAUUGGGCGUAAAGCGAGCGCAGGCGGUUUCUUAAGUCUGAUGUGAAAGCCUUCGGCUUAACCGGAGAAGUGCAUCGGAAACUGGGGAACUUGAGUGCAGAAGAGGACAGUGGAACUCCAUGUGUAGCGGUGGAAUGCGUAGAUAUAUGGAAGAACACCAGUGGCGAAGGCGGCUGUCUAGUCUGUAACUGACGCUGAG